UGUUUUGUGUGGAACAAUGCUAGACCUAUUCUCAGGUUGGCUUAAUCAACCUCUUCAAUGGUGGGCCCAGAGGAGGCACCACCAGAGGGGGGAGCUCCACCACCAGGGAAGCCUCCAGGCAUUCCUCCAGGCAUGCCUCCUGCACUCUGGUACAGCUUCGUAAUGAUGGGAUUGCAGACCUUCUCCAGCUCUUUCUGCUGAUGUUCGAAUUCUUCUUUCUCUGCAGUCUGAAGAAGAAAAAACAAAAUUCUUUACUGCAGGUUCCUCAAAGAAGGAAACUUCCUACACCAAGUCAACCUGAUGUUCCUAAAAUGCGAAGACCUACCACCACAUAGGAGUCUUAAUUACCAACGAACUCUUGGGUCACUCAGACAUCCAAGGAAGGAAUCUAAGUUGCCAACAUCUGAAGUUCUGGUGGAAACCGCGAAUGUAUGGACCAUUCAUCAUUGUGACCGAUUUAUAUCGUAAAAUCCCAUCUAAUCUUGCUGAAACCCCAUACCCUCCCUCUCCGCUCUCAAUUUAUUAGAAAUUACAAACCUGGUUCUUAUCCAGCCAGUUGAUGAUCUCAUUACACUUGUCCAGAAUCUUCUGUUUGUCCUCAUCGUUGAUUUUACCCUGAAGCUUUUCAUCUUCAACAGUUGCUUUCAUGUUGAACGCAUAAGAUUCAAGGGAAUUCUUGGAGGACACCUUGUCUCGCUGCUUCUCAUCUUCAGCUUUGUACUUCUCAGCUUCCUGGACCAUGCGCUCAAUGUCUUCCUUGCUCAAGCGACCUGUGGAAGUUAACUGGUCUUUUAGACAGGACUUUUGACAUUGAACCUUCAGUUAUCCUGCCAACCUUAACCGUUAAUGCUCUAAAGCCCAUUAGAAGCGAGCCCUUGGGUUCAAUGCCCUUAGACAGAUUUUAGAAGAUCUAUGGUCCCUAUGACCCCAGACCAGAUCUUUUAAGACAAAGGAAAAAGUGCCAAAGUUGUGCCUACCUUUGUCGUUUGUGAUGGUGAUCUUAUUCUCUUUUCCUGUGCUCUUAUCCACAGCAGAGACAUUGAGAAUGCCAUUAGCGUCAAUAUCAAAGGUGACCUCAAUCUGAGGAACGCCACGGGGGGCAGGAGGUAUGCCUGUGAGUUCAAACUUGCCCAGUAGGUUGUUAUCCUUGGUCAUGGCACGCUCACCUUCAUAAACCUUGGUAGGAAAUGAGAAUUACUAAGGAGUUGCAAGCAUCACAGCAUACCAGUUUACAGACGUUCAGGUCAACCAGGAAAGACCUCGCUCAGACAUCCAAGGAAGGAAUUGGCCAACACAAGACUUCUGGUGGAAACUACGAAUGGUUUUGGAAUCGAUCAUCAUAGCAGGACAAGUCUUCCCAAAAUCUCAUAGGACCUGAAGCAUAACUGAAUCAGUACCAAUACAGUAAAACAUACCUGAAUGAGUACACCAGGCUGGUUGUCAGAGUAGGUAGUGAAGGUUUGGGUCUGUUUGGUAGGAAUGGUAGUAUUGCGCUUAAUGAGAACAGUCAUGACUCCACCAGCAGUUUCAAUGCCGAGAGAAAGGGGAGUGACAUCCAACAGCAGCAAAUCUUGAACGUUUUCAGAUUUGUCUCCAGAAAGGAUGGCUGCCUGCACAGCUAAAACAAAAACAUUUAGUUAAAAAAAAAUAAAAUAAAAACAACCUCGUUACCUAACAAACGUCUAUCGCUCAGACAUCCAAGGAAGUUAGACCAUCAUCAGCUUAAGCUUUUGGUGGAAACUACGAAUGUUUAAGAACCACUCAUCAUAGCGAGUCAGCGUGGGGCUUUCAAGACCACCUGUUAGAACCAUUUAAUUCGAAUAGUGGGAUUAUUACCUGCACCGUAAGCGACAGCCUCAUCAGGGUUGAUGCUCUUAUUCAGCUCCUUCCCAUUGAAAAAGUCUUGUAGAAGUUUCUGAAUCUUGGGGAUACGCGUAGAGCCACCCACCAAGACAAUAUCGUGGAUCUGAGACUUGUCUAGCUUGGCAUCCCGAAGGGCUUUCUCUACAGGGUCCAGCGUGCCACGGAACAGGUCAGCGUUUAAUUCUUCAAACCGGGCACGAGUAAUAGAGGUAUAGAAGUCGAUUCCUUCAUAUAGAGAAUCAAUCUCAAUACUGGCCUGGGUGCUGGAAGAAAGCGUACGCUUGGCGCGCUCGCAAGCAGUACGGAGGCGACGGACCGCCCUCUUGUUCUCGCUGAUGUCCUUCUUGUGUUUGCGCUUGAACUCCGCAAUAAAAUGGUUUACCAUUCGGUUGUCAAAGUCUUCUCCACCUAAGUGGGUGUCUCCAGCAGUAGAUUUGACCUCAAAGAUCCCGUCUUCAAUAGUGAGGAUUGACACAUCAAAAGUGCCACCUCCCAAGUCAAAGAUCAGCACAUUCCUCUCGGCUCCAACCUGCAAUUAGAAUACAGGUGAUUACUCAUCCAAAUCUCCAAUGGUUCAAGUCAGUCGUUAAAUGAAUCCCAGCUCCACAAAGGAUACAUACCUUUUUGUCUAAGCCGUAAGCGAUAGCAGCAGCUGUUGGCUCAUUGAUGAUUCUAAGUACAUUAAGACCAGCAAUAGUUCCAGCAUCUUUGGUAGCCUGACGCUGAGAAUCGUUAAAAUAGGCAGGUACUGUGACUACAGCAUUAGUAACAGUCUAGAAGUAUAGAAAAAACAAAACCGUGUUAGAGAUCGGUUCAUAAAUUUGGCAAUAUUCCCAUCUCCGUCUACUUCUGCGUGUACUGAAGAUAGCAAUCACAUGCUUUCUAAAGAUAAGGUAGUCAGAUUACUAAUGUGUAUCCUUCAAUCAAAACCCCAUGCAUGAAUUCAUCAGGGAGUCUAGUUCAUAAUGCUGCAACUUCCAGCCCAGCCACGUGGCCUCUAGGAUUAGCAGGCUACUCACCUUCCCAAGGUAAGCCUCUGCGAUUUCCUUCAUCUUUGUCAAAACCAUGGAAGAUACCUCCUCUGGAUAGAAACUUUUGGUCUCUCCCUUGUAUUCUACUUGGACCUUGGGCCUGCCAGCAUCAUUCACCACCAUGAAGGGCCAAUGCUUCAUAUCAGAUUGGACAACAGCGUCGUCGAAUCUACGUCCAAUCAGGCGUUUGGCAUCUACAGAAGUUUAUCAGGUCAAGCGUUACAUUGCAUCUACCAAGUAAGAACCCUAGUACACCAUUACUGAAAUGUGAAGAUCAGAGACCUAGCAACCAAACUCCAGAUUAGUCAAAUGGACUCAAGUUCUCUCUGGCAGAAUUGCUCAGAUUUCCUAAUCGGAUACCCUAUUUUUAGCAUUUAAGAGUACAAAAUUACCAGGUAAAUUUUUAAAAAGGCUUUUCCUAUUUUCAAAACUUUCAUGGCUACCUUACAUUGAUAAACUUUGAACUUUCUCAUUCAGCCUACACCACUUAAAACUCAAGGCAUGUUGGUCAAAAUUAACAGCUUACCAAAAACUGUGUUGGUGGGGUUCAUUGCAACUUGAUUCUUUGCAGCAUCACCGAUCAAUCGUUCGGUGUCAGUAAAGGCGACAUAACUUGGGGUGGUUCGGUUUCCCUGAUCAUUGGCAAUUAUUUCCACUUUCCCGUGCUGGAAAACACCCACACAGGAGUAGGUGGUGCCAAGAUCAAUGCCAACUGCAGGUCCCU
rnacentral:lncRNA from 1 species